GGAUCCAGACUUUGAUUAUGGCUCAGGAUGAACGCUAGCUACAGGCUUAACACAUGCAAGUCGAGGGGAAACGACAUCGAAAGCUUGCUUUUGAUGGGCGUCGACCGGCGCACGGGUGAGUAACGCGUAUCCAACCUGCCCACCACUUGGGGAUAACCUUGCGAAAGUAAGACUAAUACCCAAUGAUAUCUCUAGAAGACAUCUGAAAGAGAUUAAAGAUUUAUCGGUGAUGGAUGGGGAUGCGUCUGAUUAGCUUGUUGGCGGGGUAGCGGCCCACCAAGGCAACGAUCAGUAGGGGUUCUGAGAGGAAGGUCCCCCACAUUGGAACUGAGACACGGUCCAAACUCCUACGGGAGGCAGCAGUGAGGAAUAUUGGUCAAUGGACGAGAGUCUGAACCAGCCAAGUAGCGCGCAGGAUGACGGCCCUAUGGGUUGUAAACUGCUUUUAUAAGGGAAUAAAGUGAGUCUCGUGAGACUUUUUGCAUGUACCUUAUGAAUAAGGACCGGCUAAUUCCGUGCCAGCAGCCGCGGUAAUACGGAAGGUCCGGGCGUUAUCCGGAUUUAUUGGGUUUAAAGGGAGCGUAGGCCGGAGAUUAAGCGUGUUGUGAAAUGUAGACGCUCAACGUCUGCACUGCAGCGCGAACUGGUUUCCUUGAGUACGCACAAAGUGGGCGGAAUUCGUGGUGUAGCGGUGAAAUGCUUAGAUAUCACGAAGGACUCCGAUUGCGAAGGCAGCUCACUGGAGCGCAACUGACGCUGAAGCUCGAAAGUGCGGGUAUCGAACAGGAUUAGAUACCCUGGUAGUCCGCACGGUAAACGAUGGAUGCCCGCUGUUGGUCUGAAUAGGUCAGCGGCCAAGCGAAAGCAUUAAGCAUCCCACCUGGGGAGUACGCCGGCAACGGUGCAACUCAAAUGAAUUGACGG
rnacentral:rRNA from 1 species